rnacentral:rRNA from 1 species
AACGAACGCUGGCGGCAGGCUUAACACAUGCAAGUCGAGCGCCCCGCAAGGGGAGCGGCAGACGGGUGAGUAACGCGUGGGAAUCUACCGUGCCCUACGGAAUAUCCUCGGGAAACUGGAAUUAAUACCGUAUACGACCUAAGGGGGAAAGAUUUAUCGGGGUAUGAUGAGCCCGCGGUGGAUUAGCUGGUUGGUGGGGUAAAGGCCUACCAAGGCGACGAUCCAUAGCUGGUCUGAGAGGAUGAUCAGCCACAUUGGGACUGAGACACGGCCCAAACUCCUACGGGAGGCAGCAGUGGGGAAUAUUGGACAAUGGGCGCAAGCCUGAUCCAGCCAUGCCGCGUGAGUGGUGAAGGUCUUAGGAUUGUAAAGCUCUUUCACCGGUGAAGAUAAUGCCGGUAACCGGAGAAGUAGCCCCGGCUAACUUCGUGCCAGCCGCCGCAGUAACAC